rnacentral:lncRNA from 1 species
GGGAGAAAGAACUGUGAAGACAGGCAGAGACUGGAGGGAUGCGGCCACAAGCCAAGGAAGGCCAGCAGCCACCAAAAGCUGGAGGAGGCGUCCUUACAGGUUCCCCUCCAAACCUACCUGGGUGAGUACAGUCUGCAGACACCUUGACUUGAGCCCAGUGAAACUGACUUUGGACUUCCGGCCUCCAGAACUGGAAAACAACACAUUUCUGAUGUUUUAAGCCUCUAAGUUUGUGAUGAUUUGUUAGUGGUUACAAUAGUCAGGGUUCUCUAGAGAAACAGAACCAUCAGGCUGUAUAGGGAGACAGGUUGAGAGAAACAGAAAGAGAUUUAUUGUAAGGAAUUGGCUCUCCAGAUUAUGGAGACAGGCAAAUCCUGAGAUUGACAGGCAAGCCAGGGUCCCAGGAUUGCCAACAGUGUGGUUUCCAUCCAGAAGGCCAGCAGCCUCGAGACCCAGAGAGGCUGAUGUUUCUGUUCAAGUCCCCACUCCCACACUGGCUCCUAGAAGGCCCAGGGGUGCUGCCCCAUCCAGCCCAUGACAGCCAAGUCCAAAGGCAAGAAGAAGUCAAUAUCCCAGCUCAGAGACAGACAGGAAGCAUUCUCUCUCACUCAAAGGAAGGUUGGCCUUUUUGUUCUAUUUAGAUCUUCGGCAGAUUGGAGGAGGCCCACUCACAUUGAGGAGGGCAAUCUACUGAGCCCACAGAUUCAGAUGGGAAGCUCAUCCAAAGACACCCUCACAAGCACCCCCGGAAUAAUGUUUGUGUGAAUAUCUGGGCACCCUGUGCCCUAGUCAAGGCGACACAUAAAAACCAGCCAUCAAAGCAGCUGAAGGAAACGAACACAGCCUCGUGUGCCAGGAUAAGGAGCUCUGCCUUUGUCCCGAGGACAGUGGGGAGCCAUAGAAGCGUAUUCAGCAGAGAUACAUCAGGGAAGUUACACUUUGCAACCCUAAACACCAGAAGGUCAGAAUUUGGUUGGCAAGGCAGAUGCCACAGGCUCUGGAUGGCUGUUAAACCCGCCCAGCCCUGGCCCAGCUCUCGGACUGAGGACACAGACAGGGGCCCAGGAGGAAAGGGCUGGGCCCAGACCACCUCGUGGGUGACGCCUCCCCAAGAGAAGAUGUGGCACACAGGUCUUCUCCAGGGCCCCUCCCCAGACAUCGGACCCCCACUGCCAAGCUAGAAAGCCGGGUGUCAUCCUCAGAGCCCAUCUUCCUCAGCCCCACCCCCUGCUGCUGCCCUUUCUACUCCCUAGAUCUGGCCCCUCC